ensembl:lncRNA
AGCCGCCAUGUUUACAGACCUCUCCGUGCCAGUGCGCCGCCGAUCGUGCAAGAAGGGGACCAUUUGUCAAACGGAACAAAAGCUGAUUCUUGUAGGCUACUCAUUAAAAUUUGGUUUUGGUCACAAUUCAUCAGCACAAAUGGGAAUGCGUGGAAAAAAGAAUGGAUGCACUCGAAAUGCAAAAUGAAUCCGAGCAAUGUUUCCUGUUGCAGAGCGUCCGAGGUCCCUCGCAGCGGCUAAUAGUGCGUUCAUGAAAGGAACGGCCUUAAGUUGAUACAUGAGCUACUCGUGCUUUCAUGCCUUUACUCUCGGGAAAACAAAGGGACAUAUUCAUACUGGGACGCGUGUCGCUGCACAGCCUUGACGGUACUUGCUGCGCCCAGCGAGCUACUGGGGACCCUGACUUAUUUUCUACCUCCACAUAAGUGAUGUGUCGGCCUUGAAAAGUCUCCCGUCUUCUCGGGAGACUGACGAUAGCAUCUGUAACGACUUAACGCUGCGAUGAUGGCAUCUUUUCCCCCUACAAUGAUGAAAUAUUCCACUUUACGAUGGAGGCAUGUAACCUUCACAUCAUUUGUGCCCACUUUAUGUCCAUAGAAAUCGUCCAUAAAUCCCCCCCAAAACGUGCUUGUUUGAGUGAUAACGUGCAGAUUCCAGUGGGCUCAGCAAAUGGGGGAGUGUAAUUCUCUUUAACGCUGUUUUUUUACUACACGCGUCACACGAUUACAUCUCGGCUCAUAAAGACAUGACCAUCAUGGUCUGAAAAACAUCAGACAUCCCACGGUAACGGCGUCUGUUCAGAGUGUAAGCCGUAAGUCUUUAACUCACCCCAGAUUUAAAUGAUUAGUCCAAUGUUUUCAAAAUGUUCAAAAAUCAUCCAGGCUUUGCAGAAAAUGAAUGGUG